UGUGUGGGUGUGUGUGUUUGUGUGUGUGCGUGUGUGCGUGUGUGUGUGUGUGAGAGAGAGAGAGAUGUCAGGAUGUAACUGGUCACACUGCAUUAGAGCUCUCGGGUGACCAGAGACAUGAAAUCUGUGGAGAAACUCCUUAUUGUAUUUUCUCUGGUUCAAGCUGUUUUGUGUAGAGAAUUCUCCAUCAGUCUACCAGAGAGUGUAGAAGCUCUGAGAGGACUCUGUGUUCUCAUACCCUGCAGCUUUCAGAUUAAUAAAGAAUAUGAUGAACAGCUCCAGGGAGAUCCUACAGGAAUCUGGUUUAAAGAUGGCACUCAUGGUGACAAUAACAGAGUCUUUCACUCUAAAAAAACUGAACAGAACAAGAUUAAAGGUGAAAUUAUAGGAGACCUCCGCAUGAAGAACUGCACCACCAUCUUCUACAACAUCAGUGAGAGUGACAGAGGAGUUUAUUACUUUAGAAUACGUUCAGGAAUCCUGAAACACACUUAUAAAUCUUCAUCAGUAUCUGUAAGAG